rnacentral:rRNA from 1 species
ACGGGUGCGUAACGCGUAAGCAACCUGCCUUCUACUGGGGGAUAGCCCGGCGAAAGCUGGGGUAAACCCGCACGGUCCCACCGGGUCACCUGGUCUGGUGGGUAAACAUUCAUGGGUAGAAGAGGGGCUUGCGUCUGAUUAGCUAGUUGGCGGGGUAAGGGCCCACCAAGGCGAUGAUCAGUAGGGGUUCUGAGAGGAUUGGCCCCCACAUGGGUACUGAGAUACGGACCCAACUCCUACGGGAGGCAGCAGUAGGGAAUAUUGGGCAAUGGAGGCAACUCUGACCCAGCCAUGCCGCGUGCAGGAUGAAGGCGCUCAGCGUUGU